UUGUAGUGGCCACUACGGGACGUUUAGCUAGAGAUAUUAGGAUCUAGGAGCUUUGGGGCCAGAAAGGAGAGGCUGCCCAAAGCAUAUCCUUACGGUCUGAUCUUCAGCUUAACUCAAACAGAACUUACAGCAUUAAUGGAGAUUUGUUCCACCAUAAAUGAAAAAUGGAGGUUCUGCAUCUUUGCAUGCUUCGUAGGCUCCAUCAUCCUGCUUUACUCUCUGAAUCAUGACCAAGACGGCGUAAACCUUUUGGUCUCGGGGAACACUGCCAUAUCCACGACAUCAUCCAAUGACUCGGAGAGGCAUUCAGCAGCUGACAUGGCUUUCGCUGCUUCCGGAAACAUUGCCAUAACCAUGACAUCGUCCAACGACUCGAAUCAAUAUCCAGUAGCUGACAUGCAGUUCUUGCAACCAUCGAACACAACAGGAAAUGGAACAAACGUUAACGAGAAGGAAGAUAGCUGCAAUAUCUUUGAUGGUAAAUGGACUUAUGACCCAACGAAAAGUCCUCUGUAUCAUGGAUCACAUUGUCCAUUUCUUAGUGACCAAGUUAGUUGCCACAGGAAUGGCAGAUCAGAUUUUGAAUACGAAAAUUGGAGCUGAGAAGCCAAGAGGUGUCAGAUUCCUAGGUUUAAUGGUACAGAUAUGUUAGAGAGACUUAAAGGGAAGAGAUUGAUUAUAGUUGGCGAUUCCAUCAACAGAAAUCAAUAUGAGUCUCUUGUUUGCCUUCUUUACUCUGCUAUUCCUUCCUCGCAAGCCGAUGUUUAUAUGAAGGGACGCUCCAGGUUUUUUAGAGCGAAGGCCUCACUAUAAUUGCCAACGGCCUUAACAACAGCAAUACAAUUGUUCUGUGGAGUUCUAUUGGAGCCCUUUUCUAGUGCAAUUGAAACCAAAGCAAGAACUUGGUGGCCGAAUUCUAAGGAUAGACAAACUUUCUGACUGGGAAAGGAGCUGUCGUGGUGCUAAUAUUAUGCUAUUUAACAGUGGUCAUUGGUGGCUUCAUCGUGGGAGUUUGAAAAAAUGGGACUUGUUUCAGUAUAAAGGAAAGGUGGUGUCGGAGAUGGAGAUCCAAUCAGCAUUUGGGAAGGCAAUGAAGACCUGGUCUCGUUGGAUUGAUCGCAACGUAGACAUGACCAUUACAAAGGUUUUUUUCCGAAGCUUGGCACCUACACACCAUGGAAAGGAAUGGUGCUACAAUCAAACCCAACCCAUCAAGGAUGAGUCCUAUGUAGCAAAACUUCCCAAUCCGAUUGAAGAGGUCAUUGAGAAAACAAUUGGACGCAUGAGGACACCGGUGAGGUAUUUGAACAUCACAAAACUAACUCAGUAUCGAAAAGAUGCGCAUACGUCAGUUUACACAACAAGACAAGGGAAGCGUCUUACGGCAAUGCAACGAAGACAACCAGAGUCCUAUGCUGAUUGCAGCCACUGGUGUUUGCCUGGAGUGCCGGAUACAUGGAACAUACUAUUGUAUGCAUCUUUGGUCAUGGACAUUCUCCCGUGACACUUUUACUUUUUAACAUCUACCUCUUUGGUUUACAUAAAACAUAAGUUCAGAAUGCUGCCCAAUUGAGAAUGAGGUUUGGCGAGAAUUUAGAUGUAACAUCCCGUAUUUUAGUGUAUUUUUAA